ensembl:lncRNA
GGCAAGGGUCGAUCUAACUGAUGAGGAAGUGGCAUGUGUUGCAACAUCCGAGGACUUCUUAGUAAUGCUGCAUCCUGCAGUGGUCGAUUAUUAUUUUUUUUUUCGAUUUGACAAAAUAAACUGAAAAACAUCCCAUGCCGAGUGGACCUGACGGCCAGCUAUCGCUAGAGUAAGUGAUUCCUGCGAUCAUUACAAUGCAUGACUCAAAGAUUUACAGUGUGUGACAGGAUUAGCGAAGCCCGUCCUGUUGGAUUGGAUUGGUUGCUAUACGCAUUGAUUAUCUUAUCACUGCGCAGUGAUUACAUAUAAAUUUAGCGGUGAGGUGGUAUGACAUCAUGAGACACGCCCCUUGUUUGCUGCAUCAUUUCUAGUUGCCGGUCAGGUAUGUUUAGUGAUGUUGGCUGAGUGUUACUAGUGUGCUGUGUUUCAUGUUAGUAUUCUUGUUUAGAGCAUAGAUUUGGAUAAACCUUGCGGCUGGUGCUUGGUUAACGUGGUCUCUCUCAACCGGUAAGUGAAACUACUGAAUGCAUUUUAUUAGUGCAAGCUUGAGUUUGUGAUGAUCCAAUUUGUUUGUAGUCUAAAGCAAGCGGGAGAGAGACUGUAAUAGCCCAGACGUUCUGCCUUACGCUACAUAGUAGUUUUGCCCCAUUGUGUGCUGUAUUGCCGACCGAGUGAGCCCACGGGUGCACAGAAUGUUGCGUACCUGAUCGGUCGGGCUUUGAGAGAGCACACGGAUACGGUAGACUUGUUGCGUCUGCGGGCGAUUUUAACUCCUUACUGUGGGGGCUUCGUGGGAAGUAUCGUCCAGAGGCGCUGUUGCUUUGCCGGUCCUCUAAUAUUAUUGUUGCGUGCCCUUGUGUUUUGUUCUUUUGUUAUUUGAAAAAUGUUUGUAAAAUGGUUGUUUAUUUUCUUUGUUCUGUUUAAUGUUUUCUUUUGAUUGAUUUAUUGUUUGGUAUUUUCUUUAACACUCUUUAUUGUAUUUCGAGUUAUUUUGUGUAUACAAGAGUGUUUACGUUCCUCUUAUUUUUGCUUUUGUGGUUUUAUGUGAUAGCUAAGAGCUUAAGGUG